GUUUGUAGCUCAGUGGUGCUGUUUCCGCCUUGCAUGCAGAAGGUUCCAGGUUCAAACCCUGACAGCUGCU